GCCAGCGUGGUAUAGUGGUUUGAUGUUGGAUUAUGGCUCUAGAGACCAGGGUUCAAAUCCCAUCUCAGCUA